GUUGCAGGAAAUACCUACAUCAUAUUGGCUGCUGCAGUCGGCAUCCUCCUUGUCUUUGGAGCGGGAGCCCUGUGGUUUUAUCGGAGGAGGAAAGAGUACAAGGACAGGCAGUAUCGCCCACCCUGCAAUCAGCCAGCAUCAGCAGACUCCUCCAGUGCAGGACAAUCCUCAGCCAGCCUCUCUAUCUCAGAAGCCAAGCAGUGACCCUCUUUCAAACCUAUCACCUCGUGGGGCAACACGUGUCUGCCAGCCCCAACAAUGGACAUUUGAAGGAUUUGGGGUGCAGGGGGGCGCUGUAGAGGUAGGAGUUGAGGGGUUCAUUUCAAAUGCCUUUUCCAGCUCCUGAAUUGGGCAGGAGUAGAUGAACUGUCAAAACUCAGGAGAGGUAUCCUAAGUUGGGUUUAAACUGUUACUUUUCUUACUGUUACUCAUUUUCCUCCCCUGACGUCACCUUUGGAAUUUAUGAGCCAAUCACAGGUAGAAAUGUUUACAUCCUCCUGUUUGCCAGUUUUAUAAAUCUUUGGCUACUUGCCUAUUUAAAACCCU